rnacentral:lncRNA from 1 species
CAAACAAGCACCUUCACCUGUCCUGGUGGAACUAAUUCUCAAGUACACUGUUAGGACAAGUCCACUGUUUCCGUAGAAUAUUGCUCCUCACUUUGUGUAAAUUUUCCACUUUGUGUCUUCCAUUGUGUUUCUAAGAUACCACUCAAUACUUGUCCGUUGUUUUUUCUUCUAAUUCCAAUUCUCUUAUACAUUUUAAUCUAAUAAUUUAAAUUAAUUAUUAGAUAAUGUUCCAAGAUAUCAUACCAUCAUAAAUAAAUAAAAAUAAUAAAAUUCAAAUUUAUAAUUAAUUAACUAUCAAAAUUUUAAUAUUAUAUUAAAAAACUAUUUCAAUCCAAAAACUAUAUAAAUUUUUAGAUUGAUUUUUGACCAUAUAGUUAAAGAGGAACCCACCCCAUGUAGAAAAAGUUGUUUGCAGGCUCUUUGAAAGAGAGCCAUAAGUUCGUGCGUUGGUUCCUGAGUCUACUCUGUGAACCUUCCGCAGCCACCCUCGCGUUGCUGGGGACGAAAAGACUCUCCCACACGAGAGUCUUUACCCCACACGUUAUUCACAUGAAGACGUUUGAUGCCCUUAUUUUCCAUGAAGACUUCUAUCGAGAUAAGAAAUAUGAGUCGUUUUUAUUUUAAAAAAUCUUGAAUUAAUUUAUUUUUUUAUAUGAAAAGUACAUAAGCAUAAAAAAUUUAAAUAAUAUUUGUAUGAAUUAUCAUAUAUGAAAGGUGCAUAGAUAUAUAAGUAGAUUUCAAUAAUAAUAGUAUUUGUAUGGAUUAUAAUUAACUUUAAUCCUUCAAGGUUAAUCUGCCUCAGUUAUCUUCUCUGCGCCUACCAAAAAAAUAAGUGACUUUUAGGAUUUAUUUUUAUAAAAAAUAUUUUUUUAUAAAAUAUUUUAUAAACUUUCUUGUGUUUUUUUAUUAUUAAAAAAAUUGAUCAAAUAAAAAAUAUUUUCUAAUCAAAAAAAAAUUUACAGAUGAAAAAACACUUUUCAAGAAUUGAAAAAUUUUUAAAAAUAUCUUGUUAUUUAUUAAUUAUAUAAAAUUUAGUUUUUAAUCUUUUAAAUUUAUUUAAAAUCUAUAUAUAAGUAUAUAACUCGAAUGAUUAUAUAUGCUUGCUUUAUACAAGCUAGGGUCGAUUCUCCAGGACAAUAAUUAAAGAUAGUGUCCGUGGAUACCAUUCCAUGUCGAGCAUUAAUUACUGACCAUACAAGGUUUGCUCUGGUCAAGAGUUUUUUUUACCUUGUCUUGCGGCUUUGAUUUUUUUUUAAAAAAAAAGAAAAAAGAAAAAAGAAUCUAUUUUAAACAAUAAAAAAACUAUAUUUUUUUAAAUCUAAGAAUUCAAAUCCAAGUGUUUUUCAAUUUAUGAUGAAGAAAUAGAUAAAUUUAGAUAUUUAGAAACUCUAUUAAAUGAUAAUUUUCAUUUAAUACUGAUGUUCAUCUCUCUUCUCCAUCAUUUAUUUCUUUUAUUUUUAAUUAUUUUUUACUUUUCAAAAUCUAUAGCUCAAAUUAAUUAACAUUUUUCUUUAAAAGCAAGAUGACUUAGGGAUAUCUAAAAAUACAAUUUUGAAAAAAAGAGAAUUAUAAUUUUUUUCUACUAUUCUCUGUCCCUCUCUUACACCCACUCUUGAAGGAUACAAAAUAUACUCAGAGCUUGCUUGGGAAGGCGGCAGGUUACGAGUUCUCAAAAUUUUUUAAUUUGUUUUAUUUAAAAUUAUUUUGUUAUAUUUUUAGAUUGUUUUGAUAUAAUGACAUUAAAAAUAAUUUUUUUAAAAUAAAAAAUAUUAUUUAAAUAUAUUUUUUAGUAAAAUAAAAUAUUUUAAAAAAUUAUUAUUAUUACAGUAACAAACACCAUCUAAAAUAACUGUUUUUAUAGAGGGAUCUAAUGUAUUUUACGUCAUCUAUAAUAAUACAUCAUUUACAGAGGGACAUGGCCACACACUAGUUUCAAUCUCACCCCCCUGUCUUGUAGACCAAUGCAAAUGCUGAAAGCUUUGACGUUAGAUUUUGAUUUUUUCCUCCCUUCCAGAACAGUUUGAUUCUUCUUUCUUGGUAGAUGCUAUUCUUCAAUUUUUCUAAGUUUUUGUACAUUGCUCUUGAUCCAACGGCACUAGCAAACUGUGACACUUCUCCUAUAAAAGCAGUCCUAAGCCCUCACAAAUAAUCACAACACACCAGCUUUCUCAAUCCAUAUUUCUUCACUAUGAGUCGUUUUUCUUACUUAUCGUUGUUUCCCUGCUUCCUUCUUUUUGCCCAUUUCUUCACCUUAAGCAACGCAGCUACUUUCGAGAUCAGAAACCAAUGCUCUUACACUGUCUGGGCCGCGGCUGUUCCCGGUGGUGGCCGAAGACUUGACCCAGGCCAGUCAUGGACCAUCACCGCGAAUGCCGGAACAACACAGGCCCGUAUUUGGGGACGGACCAAGUGCAAUUUUGAUGGGGCCGGACGAGGGACGUGCGAGACUGGUGAUUGCAACGGGCUCUUGCAAUGCCAAGCCUUCGGGCAACCCCCUAACACACUGGCUGAAUAUGCAUUGAACCAAUUCCAGACUUGGAUUUCUUCGACAUAUCUCUUGUUGAUGGAUUUAAUGUUCCUAUGGACUUCAGUCCAGUAUCAGGCAACUGCGUGGAAUUAGGUGCGCAGCUGAUAUCAAUGGACAGUGCCCGAAUCAGCUCAGGGCCAGCGGAGGCUGCAACAAUCCUUGCACUGUCUUCAAGACAGAUCAAUACUGUUGCAAUUCUGGCAACUGUGGCCCAACAGAUUACUCAGGUUUUUCAAGCAGAGGUGCCCUGACGCUUAUAGUUAUCCUAAAGAUGACCAAACAAGCACCUUCACCUGUCCCGGUGGAACUAAUUACAGGGUUGUAUUCUGCCCUUGAAGCAGUUUUAAGCCAGGAAUAAUGGUGUAAAAUGAGAAUAAGGACCAUUGCUCGAUUCACUUCUGACGGUGUGAAUUGCUGCAAGGUCACAUGCUUUAUUAUAAUGAAAAUCUACUACAAUAUUAACAGUGGCAAGACCCUUUAUUUGCUCUAGCUGUUAAAUACCCAGACAAAGUGUGUUCAUGCUUUCGGAGCAUAUCCAGCCCAGAAGCACUUUCUUCAUUUCUAACCAUGGAAACUACAAAAUACAACUAUGCUGCAAGAAAUUACCUUAAAUAAAACGAUUUAAGUACUGCUCAUGUUUGUUAGCUUCUUC